ensembl:lncRNA
CUAAUCUCAAAAUUUAGCCAAUUACUAACUGGCAAAGAACUCUGGGAAGUGUAACCUGCAGAGUCCCAGUCCUAGCUUCGUAAAGCAGCUGUAAAGUGGUGUUGAGACACAAUAGGUGUUGAACAACUAAAGUUUGGAGAUCAGAAUUAGGAAGGUAACUGGGCUAAGAGGCAGCCAAUAUUUUGGCCCUGGCCUUCCAAAAUCAACAAAGAUCCAGGACAUGAGGGAAUCUUUUCUACAGGAUCCUACAUCUUUGAAGCUGCCAAACUCCAUGCAAUCACAUGGAUGGAACCAGUGACAAGUGUGCCAAAC